GGAUGUGAGGGCAAUCUGCCUGCAACUUCUGUCACCUCACUGAUCACCAGGGUUGAUUUGCCUGAUCUGGCUAGCUAGGUGGGUGUCCCGUUCCCCCCCACACCACUCCAGCACGUCCCUCCCAAAGCUGUGCAGUUGGUCGAAGAAGACAACCAUCUCUGAUAAGGAGGAUAGUUCUUGAGUCAAGAGUAUAUGAGUAUUUGUGCUCCCUUGCUAGAACCUCCAAACAAGCUCAUUUCAGAGCCAUUUCCUGAAUGUCCAUUAUGCGAUAGCUGUGCUAAGCAAUGUGCACAUGAUGGUGAGGAGAGGCACAAUGUUCAACCCUCCUCAA
rnacentral:snRNA from 1 species